GUUCAAAGUAAGAUGCUAGUAUACAUAUUUUCACAAAAGAUACAUGAGAUGAGUUCCUCAAAAUAGUUCAUGUAGAGAAUCAAGCUUUAAAAACUGAGUAACCUUUAGUAAGUACAAACAAGAAUUAUAGAAAAUACCAAGAUGUGGGGUUUCACAUUUUAUUCCUAAUUCCCCAACCCCAUAUUGAGAAUCCACUAAUGAUGGCCAACAGUCUUAUUUUAUUAUG
rnacentral:lncRNA from 1 species